GAGAAGAUCCUUGCCCCCUGGAACCCUGGACCCCUGGAUUGCAGUCCCAGAUGUUCAGAUCCUCAAACUUCAGGAGAAUCCAGAAGUUAGUAUUAUUCAUCCUUGCUGCAAUGAGGUUGAGUCAAAGCAGAAGCUGUCCUCUCAUUUGCGGCAUUGUAUAUGCCUGACAAAAAUCUUUUUUUGCCAGGAUGUUCUAACUGGUGAGCUUCCUAGGAAUAUGCUAUUUUCUGUAGACAGGCCCCUUGUUCAAGCCAUUGUUCAAAGAACCAGAUUAACUGUUGUUGGCAUUUACAACGUGUAACAAGCAUAUGCAAACCAGAAGGGUGCUGUUGGUGUUAAACAACCAUGAGUGAAAUGCAUGGCCGGCCGGGGCUCAAGUAGAACCAUGCUGUGUAGUCCCUGAACUAUGCAAAGCGGGUCAAUUUCGUCCAUCUGGUGAUGUGGCGUGCCACCGUGGAUCGCCAAGUCAGCGUCCAGUCAGCGUAUGAUGGGAAAUACUGUUUCUACCCUCCAUAGAUCCAGCUAAACUCAGAUUCGCUCGCAGCCCCAGGCCCAGACCCGAGCUCCCUCGCCGCCCCAGCUAGCCAGCGUGCCGGCCCCGAGCUCCCUCACCACCCCAGCUAGCCACCGCGCCGGCCCCGAGCUCCCUCGCCGCCCCAGCUAGCACAUCGCCUCCCCCAGCUAGCUCGCCACCCCUCCCUCCCAAGCAGCUCUCUGGAAUAGUUACCAGAGUUACCUAUGGAAGCAUGCUGCAACCAUGAGAGUUUAAAAGUAUGGUAUUUGGGUGGGAAUGAAAACUGUAAGAUACUUUGGGAGGGCAUAUGAGUGGGUUGGCUUGAGCCGCCAACCCAACAUUAUCAGCAAGUUCAAAAGAACGCUAGGCCAGUUCACACCAGCACGGUGGGACAAGGAUGAGUGGUACCCUCAUCUGGGUCCAUGGAGGUUCAUCCAGGAACGUAAUGGAUCGGCUGGGGCAGCCAACUUGAGGGCAUACGACGGCGCGCCCAGUGUUGUUUUGGUCAUAGUCACCGAAGUUCAAGGAACGGAACGGUAUUGUGAUGCAUUUUUAACCCAAUCUUCUUAAAAGUUAGUCGCAGCUUUCGAUUCAGAUGUGUCUGACGGGGGUAAUCAGCUGGGACAAUGUAAUCUCCAAACAGGUGAAAAAAAAGUUUCCCUGAGAAGAUUAUUUUUCUUAACUUUUCUCCUCCAGCGACGCUUGAGAGGGAUAAGAGUGAUGAUUAUCCAACUGUACUAAUGACGUGGGAGACCGUCUUUAACAUGGUCGUGCACCUUCUUAAACAUACUAGCGUACUUUGCUUGAUAAGAAAGCCCAACAUGUAUGGAAAACAAUGCUCUUGUAUCGAAGUUGUUUCUUAUCAGACGAGUCAAGUAACAAAUCUCUGGAGGAAUAUUCCGUCUAUAGAAGCUAUCAAUGACACUUGCAGGUGAGAUGUAGUUGUUGCGCAGGCCGGCUUCAAGAUCAAUCAGUACCAGUCGGGAGAGACAAACAUUGUAUGCAUUUCUUAAAAUCUCAACUCCACGUAGUGUCAAAGCACCAGUCAGGGAGAAACUAACAUUGUCUGCACUAAUAUCAGGUAAGCAAAACCCUUCAGAUUCAAGUUGCCUGAUGUGCAUUAUCAGCUUGCGAUUAGCUCUUUUGCUGAUGUCACUGCCAACCCGAUAGUAAACUGUGGUAUCAAUUUCUGCUGGUAACAUCCUUCUCGAAUUGUUGCUAGUGUUGCCGUUGAUAUUGGUGACCGUGGUAUUAGUUGUCACAAACUUAGAAACUGUUAGUCUAUCAUAGCAAAAGAGUUCAAUAUCUCCAUUAUUGUGUUGGUAAUGAUAUUGGUUGUAAGUUAGGAAAGAUAGGACUGCAUAAAAGGAAACAUUAUUUUAUCAUAGAUUCAAAUAACAAUUACUGAUGAUAUUAUAAAACAUGCUUACGGAAUUAAUCAUUGAUAUUAUAUGACAAGCAUAAACAGGAGGAGGACAGAACAGUUAAAACAAAUUUUCAAACUGGAUACAUCCCAAUCAGUUGCUAGUAAUAUUGACCCGCAGUAAUAGAAAACAACCCAAUAAUGGAGAUGUUGAACCCUUCUGCCAUGGUGGACUAACAGUUUCUGAUUUUAUGGUCACUAAUACUAUGGUCAUCAAUGCCAAUGGCAACACUAGUAACAACUCGAGAAGGAUGUUACCAGCAGAAAUUGAUACCACAAUUUACUAUCAGGUUGGCAGUGACAUCAGCAAAAUAGCUAGUCGCCAGCUGAUAAGGCACAUCAGCCAACUUGAAUCUGAAAGGGUUUGCUUAGCUGAUCUUAAUGCAGACAAUGUUCGUCUCUCCCCAACUGGUACUAACACUACACGAGGUUGAGAUUUUGAUGAAUGCAGACAAUGUUUGUCUCUCCCAAACUGGUACCGGUUGACGUUGAAGUCGGCCUGCACAAUAACUACAUCUCAGUUGCAAGUGUCAUUGAUGAUUUAUGUGGCUGGAAUAUUCCUCUAGAGAUUCAUCACUUUCGUUUGAUGAGGAACAACUUCGCUGCAAGAGCGUUGUUUCACAUACAUGGUCGGUUUCUCAGGCAAACUACGCUAAUAUAUUCAAGAAGGUGCAUGACCAUGUCAAAGACUGUCUCCCACGUCAUCAGUACAGCCGGAUAAUCAGCACUCUUAUUCCUCUCAAGCGUUGUUGGAGGAGAAAAGUUAAGAAGAAUAAUCUUCUCAGGGAAACAUUUUUUCACCUAUUUGGAGACUACAAUGUCCCAGCUGAUUACCCCCGUCAGACGCAACUGAAUCGAAAGCAGCGACUAGCUCUUAUGAAGAUUGGGUUAAAUCCAUCAACCUACAAUCAUCCUUCAUUGAGCAAGAGUGCCAUUAGCUUCUGGCUUUCUUGAGGAAUCAUUCGGGUCAUCGGAUGGAGUCCUUUCUCAACUAGGUUUCACAAGGUAAUGCUGAUUUCACCCCUAAAGAAUCUGAGUUGGUUGCUAUGGUGAGAUUCCCCGAGGUACUUCCAAAAUUGCAGUUGAACAUAUUUAACAUGAAUCCGCAAUUCCUUCUGGACCUAAAAUUGGAGGAAUCACUACAACACAUAUGACCUUCUGUGAUGAAUAUCUCACGACAGUUGGUCAAAACGUCAUAGACCAUUUUGUUUUGUGACCUUUUGGUUGAGGAAGUAUGAUUUAGUGACAAAAACCUGGUGUUCGUCGCUAAAAUCAAGUAGAAAUCGUCGUAGACGAGACAAAGAUCUUAUCGUUACGAUUUUAAUCUGUCACAAAAGUUAACUCAGUGACGAAUUAGAUUCACAGGUCCAAAUUUGAAAAAUGAUGUGUCGAGGGAUUUAACAUCAAAUCUCAACACAAGUAAACCAAUUGCUGCCGCGCAACUCCAGUUGCCGCCGCGCAACUCCAGCAAUCAAGAGGCCACCGGGCCAGAGAGUCUUCCCUCCCGCGUAGCCGCACACCCGCAAGCUCUCAAGCAUGAGCGGCCGGCGCUGGCUGGCAGCUGGAGGAGGCGGGGGAGGGGGUGGCGGCGGCGACGGCGACGGCGGGAACUGGCGUAGGAGCGGCUCGGCAUGAUUCAAUCGCUUGCUUCUACGCUGUUGGCCUGCCUGGCUGUCCACCAAUGACUGGGAGGCCAUCGACCGCUACACCCUCACCACGUCAUGUCCUUUGACAAGAUCGACCUCCAUCAAGCAAACCACCAGGUACCCGAUUGAUGCUCUACUCUGCAUUUUACCACAUGAAGCAUGUCUCUCUCUUUUAUGUAUUGUGCCUGGUUGUUAAUCUGCCCAGUGUACAUCUAAAUUAUUUUGCAAUGAUGCCACAUCCUUUUAAAGUUAUUCUUUUCCAUACAUGUAAUUUGUCAUUGUUCCGUGUAUGCUGUGUUGCCACAUCCUCACCGUGGUGCUCGCCCGGGUCUCUUCUCCAUGCGCUCUUCGCGCCACCACUGCGCCAAGGCCUCCCUGCUGCUGCAGGUACAAAAUGUGACCCUCGGCAACAGACUCUUGGAUCUGAAUCAAACAACCUGUUUAGCCAUGUGGGUUUUUUCAGUUACACUCUUGGAUCAGGAUAACGUCAUGUAACGGCCAGGGGUAGCCCUAGCCGAUAGUUGACAACAGAUGGGGAAGAUCGUUGUCUACCCUGCCCUGCGCUUGUUGGUGUUGUGAGGUAGAAGAGGAGAAUACUUGUAUAUUGAUUGAUGUAGAGUUUACAUGGUUGGGUAUAU